CAGUAGCCGCGGGAAAACGUAGGUGGCAAGCGUUAUCCGGAAUUAUUGGGCGUAAAGCGCGCGUAGGCGGUUUUUUAAGUCUGAUGUGAAAGCCCACGGCUCAACCGUGGAGGGUCAUUGGAAACUGGAAAACUUGAGUGCAGAAGAGGAAAGUGGAAUUCCAUGUGUAGCGGUGAAAUGCGCAGAGAUAUGGAGGAACACCAGUGGCGAAGGCGACUUUCUGGUCUGUAACUGACGCUGAUGUGCGAAAGCGUGGGGAUCAAACAGGAUUAGAUACCCCUGUAGUCCCUGUCUCUUAUAC
rnacentral:rRNA from 1 species